GGCUGAUUCUAGCUUGUUCUGUGUCAGUUCUGAACUGAUGUUGCUCCUCUGAAUCUUGAGUGUGUGAAGGCUUGUCUCCAAAUGACCAAAUGUAAAACUUGACAUUGCCUUAUGGAUAUAUGAAACAAUGAAACUGCAUUGCCUCAACUGCAGGGCAGGUGUGCUGAGCGGCACACCCUCUGCCACGCAGACGGGGGGACAAACCAGAGCACAACGCGGCUUCUCUCCUGGAAACCCAAGGAAACCAACAGCUAAGGAGACGUUGUGGUCCCCUGCUGCCUCCUGCAACCAGGACAUGCUUCGGGGUACACAGCUUGUAGGACUUUGAAGCUGAACCUAGUGAUUCACAGUAAAUAUGCAGCGCCCCGAGCGACCCAGAAAAUGGACAUACUUUUGCGGGCAGGUUCACUCUGAAACGGCAAGGAAAAAGAAAUCCUUCCCAAGCCUAUUUUCACCUGCAGCACAGGGCGAGGAGCGAGCAGUCUGGAUUUGGCUCAGGAGGACGUGCUGCAGCCGUCAGUGACCACGAGGCCCAAAGCCCCCUGAGCCUCGCUCUUCGGGCUCUGAGUAAUACUCAGCAAACCGCAGCAGCCUCCCAGCAGCCCAGCAGAACGGCGUGCUUAUCAGAAUCGUGUAAUGUAAUUACUCAGCGGUUGGAAACCACUUUCAGACUGGUAGAAAAGAGAUGCCUUGUUACUGCAGAGUUAUGUUAAGCAACACCACCACCACCACCGAUCAAUAAAAAUCACCAAAUAAUUAAGGAUCUUCA
rnacentral:lncRNA from 1 species